rnacentral:rRNA from 1 species
AGAGCGUAGGGUGGAUGCCUAGGCACUGACAGCCGAAGAAAGACGUGACAAGCUGCGAAAAGCUGCGGGGAGAAGCACAUAUUCAGUGAUCCGCAGAUGUCUGAAUGGGGAAACCCACUUGGAAGAACUCCAAGUAUCUGUACGCCAAUACAUAACGUACAGAGGGGAACCCGGUGAACUGAAACAUCUAAGUAGCCGGAGGAAAAGAAAACAACAGUGAUUGCGAAAGUAGCGGCGAGCGAAAUCGUAAGAGCCCAAACCGUGGUGCGUGCACUGCGGGGUAGAGGACUGCAAUACGAGUAAGAUAUAUUACCUGAACCGUUUUGGAAAAGCGGGCCAAAGAGCGUGAGAGCCGUGUAAGGGAAAAUAUAUCGAAUCCAGCAGUAUCCGGAGUACCACGAGACACGAGAAACCUUGUGGGAAGCAGGGGGGACCACCCCCCAAGGCUAAAUACUAGUCAGUGACCGAUAGCGUAUAGUACUGUGAAGGAAAGGUGAAAAGAACCCCGGGAGGGGAGUGAAAAAGAACCUGAAACCCUAUGUUUACAAACUGUGGAACACCGAAAGGUGAACCGCGUACUUUUUGUAGAACGGUCCGGCGAGUUACAUGUACAGGCGAGGUUAAGUAUUAAAGAUACGGAGCCGAAGGGAAACCAAGUCUUAAUAGGGCGAUGUUAGUCAGUAUGUGUAGACCCGAAACCGGGUGAUCUAUCCAUGUCCAGGUUGAAGUUCGCGUAAAAGUGAAUGGAGGACCGAACACACAUCCGUUGAAAAGGGUGGUGAUGAGGUGUGGAUAGGGGAGAAAUUCCAAUCGAACCCGGAGAUAGCUGGUUCUCCUCGAAAUAGUUUUAGGACUAGCCUUGUUUUAGUUUCAUGGAGGUAGAGCUCUGAAUUCUUAAGGGGGCGUCAAAGCUUACUAAGAGAUAUCAAACUGCGAAUGCCAUCGAAAUGAUGAACAGGAGUCAGACUGCACGAGAUAAGUUGGGUAGUCAAAAGGGAAAGAGCCCAGACCUACGGCUAAGGUCCCAAAGUGUGUGUUAAGUGGAAAAGGAUGUGGGAUUUCGAAGACAGCUAGGAUGUUGGCUUAGAAGCAGCCAUACAUUAAAAGAGUGCGUAACAGCUCACUAGUCGAGAGGUCCUGCGCCGAAAAUGUCCGGGGCUAAACACAACACCGAAGCCUAGGAAUGUAGUAAUACAUUGGUAGAGGAGCAUUCUUAGAGGCGUAGAAGCCAUACCGGAAGGAAUGGUGGAGUAAUAAGAAGAGAGAAUGCCGGAAUGAGUAGCGAGAAAGAGGUGAGAAUCCUCUUGGCCGAAUAUCUAAGGUUUCCUGAGUAAAGCUGAUCUACUCAGGGUAAGUCGGGGCCUAAGGCAAGGUCGAAAGACGUAGUCGAUGGAUAACAGGUACAGAUUCCUGUACUACAUAUAAUCAGAACUGUGGGGACACGGAGACUAAAACCGAACCCGGGAGGACAAAAACCGGGGCAAGCGAAGUACCUGUAUGGGAGGAAAAACCACCAUACAAGGGGAAAACGUGAUGCGUACCGAAAAUUAGUAGGGAAGUCGGUUAGGGAGCCGUCAAGAAAAGCCGCUAUUGUGUUAUAUGUACCCGUACCGCAAACCGACACAGGUAGAUGAGGAGAGAAUCCUAAGGCCGGCGGGAGAAGCAUUGUUAAGGAACUCGGCAAAAUGACCCCGUAACUUCGGGAGAAGGGGUGCCACUUUAAUAGAGUGGUCGCAGAAAAAAGGCUCAAGCAACUGUUUAGCAAAAACACAGGUCUAUGCGAAACCGCAAGGUGAAGUAUAUGGGCUGACGCCUGCCCGGUGCCGGAAGGUUAAGAGGAGAAGUCAGGAAACGAAGCUUUGAAUUGAAGCCCCGGUAAACGGCGGCCGUAACUAUAACGGUCCUAAGGUAGCGAAAUUCCUUGUCGGGUAAGUUCCGACCCGCACGAAAGGCGUAAUGAUUUGAGCGCUGUCUCAACAAUGCACCCGGUGAAAUUGAAGUACCAGUGAAGAUGCUGGUUACCCGCGCCAGGACGGAAAGACCCCAUGGAGCUUUACUCCAGUUUGGUACUGGGAUUCGGUAAUACUCGUACAGGAUAGGUGGGAGACUAAGAAGCAUGGACGCCAGUUUAUGCAGAGUCGCCGUUGGGAUACCACCCCUGUAUUGCUGGAUUUCUAACCUGCAGCCGUAAUCCGGUUGGGGGACAAUGCCAGACGGGGAGUUUGACUGGGGCGGUCGCCUCCGAAAG